rnacentral:rRNA from 1 species
AAUAUGGCACAAGGUGCGGAAUCCUGAUGCAGCGACGCCGCGAGGGGGAUGACUGCCUUAGGUGUAUAAACCUGUUUCUACAGGGAAGAAGUGAACAAGACAGUACCCGUCUAAGAAGCAACGGCUAACUACGUGCCAGCAGCCGCGGUAAAUCGUAGGGUGCUAGGGUUGUCCGGAAUUACUGGGCGUAAAGAGCUCGUAGGUUGUUUGUCACGUCGUCUGUGAAAUUCCGGGGCUUAACCUCGGGCGUGCAGGCGAUACGGGCAAUACUUGAGUGCUGUAGGGGAGACUGGAAUUCCUGGUGUAGCGGUGAAAUGCGCAGAUAUCAGGAGGAACACCAAUGGCGAAGGCAGGUCUCUGGGCAGUUACUGACGCUGAGGAGCGAAAGCAUGGGUAGCGAACAGG